CCUACGGGGGGCAGCAGUGGGGAAUAUUGGACAAUGGGCGAAAGCCUUAUCCAGCCAUGCCGCGUGUGUGAAGAAGGCCUUCGGGUUGUAAAGCACUUUCAGUGGGGAAGAAAGCCUUGGGGCUAAUACCCUCGAGGAAGGACAUCACCCACAGAAGAAGCACCGGCUAACUCCGUGCCAGCAGCCGCGGUAAUACGGAGGGUGCGAGCGUUAAUCGGAAUUACUGGGCGUAAAGCGCGCGUAGGCGGUCUGAUAAGCCGGUUGUGAAAGCCCCGGGCUCAACCUGGGAACGGCAUCCGGAACUGGCAGGCUAGAGUGCAGGAGAGGAAGGUAGAAUUCCCGGUGUAGCGGUGAAAGGCGUAGAGAUCGGGAGGAAUACCAGUGGCGAAGGCGGCCUUCUGGACUGACACUGACGCUGAGGUGCGAAAGCGUGGGUAGCAAACAGGAUUAGAUACCCUAGUAGUC
rnacentral:rRNA from 1 species